GAUGGGCACAGUGGCGCGUGCCUGUAGUCCCAGCUAUUCGGGAGGCUGAGGCUGGAGGAUCCCUUGAGCCCAGGAGUUCUGGGCUGUAAUGCACUAUGCCGAUCGGGUGUCCGAAAUAAGUUCGGCAUCAAUAUGGUAACCUCCUGGGAGCAGGGGACCACCAGAUUGCCUAAGGAGGGGUGAACCAGCCCAGGUCAGAAAUGGAGGAGGUCAAAACUCCCAUGCUGAUCAGUAGUGGGAUCAUGCCUGUGAAUAGCCACUGCACUCCAGCCUGGGCAACAUAGCAAGACCCUGCAUCU
rnacentral:SRP_RNA from 1 species